ACUCCCCGCUCUCUCUAACGCUGACAGGAGGGAUCACGUUGUCAAGCCACCACUGUCACAGCGCACUCCAUUUCUCUCUGACACGUGGGUCCCCUCUGUCAUCCCUAACCCUGCACCUCUUUCCUUCCCGAUGCCGACCGGGCGACCGCCUUUCCUUUGCCACUGUUCUCUUUCCUUUACUCGACAUGAUCCCCUACCAUCGUCAAAAUGUGCCUAGAUCUCUCGCAUCUCUUCCUUCCUCUUCCCGAUCGAUUCCCUACCUUUUGCAUGCCAAUCAAGCCUGACCGCAUCUCAGAGAUCAACGAAAUUUCUCUUGUUGUGUCGUUGUUGUCUCACCUUUUCCAUCCAAUUGAGUUGCACCUAAGUAUAAAGCCGGCCGGCCUGCACCCUUCACUCACCUUGCCUCAAGCUCUAAUCUACACAAAAACCUUGUGCCCUGCAAUCGUGUUGUCGUCGCUAUUGCCAAAUCAUUGGAGCACGUUCUGCAUCUACCCGAGCACUCCAGCCCUUGCUACCGAGCUCUAUAGCUUCGCCAAGACCCAGGACGCCUGCGACGUG
rnacentral:misc_RNA from 1 species